rnacentral:lncRNA from 1 species
UUUGAAGAUCAUAUAAAAUAAAGGAAACAAAGUGUAAACCUUAAAAUAAAGCCUCAAUGCCUUCAACUGCUAACUUGAGUCGGAGCUUACAAGCAACACGUAAAACAAAAAACAACAAUACAACAUAAUGUAUAAUGUCAAUAAAUACAAUGCCAUGAACAUUAAAAUCCGAUCCACCCCAUCCUUGGCUGAUAUGCCUUGGCAAGACAUUUACGAAAAUCAGUAUCUUUCACUUGAAGGAUCAAUCGAUUAGCUCGGAUACGUCCCCAAAAGUAUCCGAGAGGUUGAAUUGAUACACAAUGAAACUGUCAUGCUCUAGUUGGAAGCUUCAAGCACAGUAUAAUAGCUCGAAUCACAGCCACGUUUUCUUACUGCUGGAAUUCCGGCACCCCCUUAACAUCAUUCUCCCAAAACAGUGACUGUAAAUUCACAACGAAGAAUCACCGUAUGAAGCAAAUGGUUAUGGAAAAUCGCAUCGUUUGUUUCAAGACACAAACACCACACUGCAACCGCAUAACAUGUUCAGCUAAGAUCAACAACUACAGAUUUGUGUAAAUAAUGCAAUAUAAAAUAAUCAGAGUAGUAUAAUUUGUGUUUUCUCUUGUAGUAAAAUCAUAGUUUAGGAUUAGAGAAAGUGACUGUAAAGACAAAGUUUCGAAGCUCAUAAAAAUGAAUGCAUGAACCAAAUGGAUUAAAUCCAAAUUAUAUGAAGAACAUAAGGUGAUAGAAUAGUUAAUGCUUAGUGACUAAAGUCCCUGAUUGCCAAUUCCAGUAUUCAUCCUUUCUAUCCAAAACGAGAGUAAAACUCUGGAAUUUUAAUCACAAAAAUCAAAUCAAAGUUCAAUCUCUGAUAAUCUAAAAUACAAAAAAAGGAAAAUUAAUUCAAAUUUCAGCCCAAACUCAUAUGAUAAUGAAGUCAAAUGGCUCUACCUUGAAACCAACUCAAACUAAACCCAAAUCAUUUGUUUUUAAAAAAUCAGAUGGCCAUGAGGGUUGUAAAAGAUCACAAUGAAACAAAGGUAAUUAAGCUCACCAGGAAGGCUAAAUUGGAAAGAGCUUAUGGCUCCUCCAAAGGUCCUGUUAGAAAAAGGCAGCAGCAACAAUGAACAACAAAGAGCAUAAGCUCAUGAAAACAGCAAGCAAAACAAUUGAUAGGCCAAAGAAAAAAGUAACCG